rnacentral:rRNA from 1 species
GACGAACGCUGGCGGCGUGCUUAACACAUGCAAGUCGAACGGUAAGGCUCCAGCUUGCUGGGGUACACGAGUGGCGAACGGGUGAGUAACACGUGGGUGACCUGCCCUGCACUUCGGGAUAAGCCUGGGAAACUGGGUCUAAUACCGGAUAGGACCGCACCGUGAGGGUGUGGUGGAAAGUUUUUUCGGUGUGGGAUGGGCCCGCGGCCUAUCAGCUUGUUGGUGGGGUAAUGGCCUACCAAGGCGGCGACGGGUAGCCGGCCUGAGAGGGUGGACGGCCACAUUGGGACUGGGACACGGCCCAGACUCCUACGGGAGGCAGCAGUGGGGAAUAUUGCACAAUGGGCGGAAGCCUGAUGCAGCGACGCCGCGUGGGGGAUGACGGCCUUCGGGUUGUAAACUCCUUUCACCAUCGACGAAGGGUUUCUGACGGUAGAUGGAGAAGAAGCACCGGCUAACUACGUG